rnacentral:lncRNA from 1 species
ACGAAAUGUAAAAUAGAGAGUGAUGUGACACUAAGGAUCACACGAUUACUUGAAGAAACAUAUGCAAACGAAACAACUGUAACAUAUUCCAAAAAUAAAAACUUGUUCAAAACUUAAAACCUCAAAUAACUUAGUUGUUCACCGGAACUCUUUUUGUUGAACGUCUUUAAACAAAGCAAACAACGAACUCACCAAUUCUCUAGUUUACAACUCAUCAUAGUUGGUGUCCUCAUUGAGUCAAAAAAACACAAAUUACAGAAAAGCAGACAAUCAAGUAAGUUCAAGGCACAGUACCGACAUUUUGCAAUAUCAGAAUCCGUAUAGCCAACCAUAUAUCUCCUCAAAUCCAAAAAUAUCCCAAGAAUUUGUCAC